rnacentral:rRNA from 1 species
UACAGAGGGUGCAAGCGUUAAUCGGAAUUACUGGGCGUAAAGCGCGCGUAGGCGGUUAUGUAAGUUGGAUGUGAAAUCCCCGGGCUUAACCUGGGCACUGCAUUCAAAACUGCAUAGCUAGAGUAUUGGAGAGGAAGGUAGAAUUCCAGGUGUAGCGGUGAAAUGCGUAGAGAUCUGGAGGAAUACCGAUGGCGAAGGCAGCCUUCUGGCCAAAUACUGACGCUGAGGUGCGAAAGCAUGGGGAGCAAACAGG